rnacentral:pre_miRNA from 1 species
GUUAGAAAAAAGAAAGAAAUUAGUAUCUAAGGGCAGUAGGCAUCAUAACAUGGGGGAGAGGCCAAACUCUUCCCCCUCUAUAUUCAGGGGUCAAGAAUUGUUUUGGUGUUUUCCCAUUGUCUCCCAUGUCUAUUGUUCUUAUGUGCUCCUUCCUCUUCCUUUUAACU